rnacentral:lncRNA from 1 species
AUGGACCGCCGCGCACCACGGGAGUUCCCGUUCUGCCUCCGGCGCUCGGCGAGUGGGAGAAAACAAAUCGCUGAUGCCAGCUCCGGCCCCGCACAGGGUGCCGGGAGGUGUCGUGAGCCUGGUCCCCAGCUGCCCCCCUCCCGGCACCGCCGGCACCUUCCUGACUGCUCCUCAGCACCCUGCUGGAUGGGACCACGGGGACCUCGAAGGGUGUCCCCAAGCCAUGAUGGCCCACGCUUGCCGCGAGGAUGGGUUCAUUCAUCCCGCCCCAACUCUGGGGUCCAUGGGCUUGAUGCUCAUCCCUCCGUGAUGCCGUGGUGGCUGGCACGUAGCAGGGGCCAGGGGGUCCUGCUCUGCUCCUUCCAGCCUUGGUUUUGGGGUGCCCCCAGCGCCAGCCCCAUCCGCAGCCACCCCCUGCUCCUGAGUAGCGAACGUGGCAGCGAACGUGGCAGCUCCUCUGCUCUCCUUCUCCCGUCAGCAAAUUCCCCACCGCUCCCCCCUGACCUCUCUCCCUUUCUUUCGUGCCUGACAAACUCCCUCCUACUUAUCUCCAUCGCCUCUGCUCCACAUUCCUCCGGGGGGAGGGCGGCAUCCCCCUGGCCCCUCGCCCCACGCUCCAUCCCCGGGGGCAGAGCAGGGGGCUUUGGCGAGCCGAGGGCAGGAUUUGGCCGCUCAGGAGGGCAGGGGACACGGCGAUGCCUCGUCCCCAGCUGGAACCGGGCGCCCUCGGCGCUCAGCAUCUUUUAUUGCCCGGGCGGCGGCACCAGGGGGCAGCGCGGAGCCGCCGGCAGCGGGGCCGGAUCCUGCCUCGCCGAGCGGGGGGCAAAGGGCAGGGCAGGGCCGGGGAGAAGCUGCAGCCCCCAACCCCUUGCGAGGGACGAGGAAGAGGAGGAAGAGGAGGAGGAGGAGGAAGAGCCCCCGCAGUGCGCCGUGAGCCACCUCCUGCAUGGCACGGGGGGCACCCGGCGAUGCCAGCGCCCCGCGCAGAGCCCGGGCUGGGGGCAGCAGCUCCGACAAAAAGUAAAAAUCAGAGCGAAGGCUCAAAAGCCCUGCCAGAAAUCCCCACUGGAGCCAAGCGCUCGGCCUCCCCGCUCGCAGGCGGCCUCAGCUCCCUGCCCGUCGCCCCGCGCUCCUCCACCCUUGGCAAAGCUGCAGCCGCCGGCGGGCGCAGGAGAUGCCUGCUGA